rnacentral:rRNA from 1 species
UAAAAUUUAUUUAUUAAUUUUUGUUGUUAUAUUUUAUUUAUUAAAAAAAAUAAUUUUAUAAUUAAAUGUUUUUGUAUUUUAUAAAGAAAAAAUAAUUUUAAUAAUAGUUUAAUUGUAUUGAAAAAGAAUAUUGAAAUAAUUUGAAAAAUUUUUAAAAAUAAAGAAAAUUUUAUUUAUUGUACCUUGUGUAUCAGGGUUUAUUAAUUAAGAAAUAUUUAAUAUAUUUUUCUCGAAUUUAAGAGAUCUAAAAAUUUAUUUAAGUUAAUGUGGCAUAAUUAUUUAAAAUACAUUUUUAGAAAUGAAACGUUAUUCGUUCUUAAUUAUAUCUAGUUUUUUAAGAAAUAAAUUUAAUUUAUAUAUUAUUUAGUAAAAAUUUAAUUUAAUAAUUUUUUAUUAAUUAAUAUAAAUAUUUUAAGGGAUAAGCUUUAAAAUAAAAUUUUAUAAAUUGUAAAUUUUAAAAAUAAUUGUAGGACUAGAAUUAACCAUCAAAUUAAAUUAUGUUAUAAUUUAUUUUUAUUAGCAAAAAAAUUUAUUGUUUUUUAAAUUUUAUAUUAAAAUAUUAAUUUGAAUGUAAAAAAUUAAGUAAUAAUGAUAAAAUUAGUAUAUUAUUUAUUUAUAUAAAUAAAAAUCAAUGAAAGGUUUUUAUAAGUAAUUCGGCAAAUUUAAUACUCGCCUGUUUAUCAAAAACAUGUCUUUUUGCAAUAUAUUUAAAGUCUAACCUGCCCACUGAAAAAUUUAAAGGGCCGCGGUAUUUUGACCGUGCAAAGGUAGCAUAAUCAUUAGUCUUUUAAUUGAAGGCUCGUAUGAAUGGUUGAACGUAGUAUUAGCUGUCUCAUAAAAAAUUAAAAUAGAAUUUAACUUUUUAAUUAAAAGGUUAAAAUAAUUUUAAAAGACGAGAAGACCCUAUAGAGCUUUAUAAUAUUUUUGUAUAAUUUAUUUAGAAAAAUUAAAAUAAUACUUAAUUUAUUAUUUUGUUGGGGUGACAAUAAAAUUUAAUAAACUUUUAUUAAUUGUAAACAUUAAUUUAUGAAUAAUUGAUCCAGUUAUAUUGAUUAUAAAAUUAAGUUACCUUAGGGAUAACAGCGUAAUUUUUUUUAAGAGUUCAUAUCGACAAAAAAGAUUGCGACCUCGAUGUUGGAUUAAGGGUUAUUUUUGGGUGUAGAAGUUCAAAGUUUAGGUCUGUUCGACCUUUGAAUCCUUACAUGAUCUGAGUUCAGACCGGCGUAAGCCAGGUUGGUUUCUAUCUUUAAAUAAUUAAAAUAUUUUAGUACGAAAGGACCAAAUAUUUGAAAUAUAAAUUUUUAAUAAUUGAAUUAUAAUAAGUAAUAA